GUACCCUCCAGCCUUGCUGGGUGUUGGGCGUUUUGUUCCGCUGCGCGCGUGAACUCGCCUCAAAUGCAUUGGCAGCCAGCCGUUCCGCAGGAAGCGCAGCACAUUUUGCGCCUUCUGCUGGGUGCGGCGGCGUCCACAAGCUUAUACUUUUC
rnacentral:misc_RNA from 1 species